rnacentral:rRNA from 1 species
UACAGAGGGUGCGAGCGUUGUCCGGAAUCACUGGGCGUAAAGGGCGCGUAGGUGGCGACCCAAGUCGAUGGUGAAAGCUCGCCGCUCAACGGCGAGUCGGCCACCGAUACUGGGUUGCUCGAGCACUGUAGAGGCUAAUGGAAUUCCGGGUGUAGCGGUGGAAUGCGUAGAGAUCCGGAAGAACGACCGGUGGCGAAGGCG